AUACGGAGGGUGCAAGCGUUAUUCGGAAUCAUUGGGUGUAAAGCGCGUGUAGGCGGCUAGGUAAGUCAGAUGUGAAAGUUCUGGGCUUAACCGAGAAAGUGCAUUUGAAACUGCCUGGCUUGAGUCUCGUAGAGGAAGGUGGAAUUCCCAGUGUAGAGGUGAAACUCGUAGAUAUUGGGAGGAACACCGGUGGCGAAGGCGACCUUCUGGGCGAAGACUGACGCUGAGACGCGAAAGCGUGGGGAGCAAACAGGAUUAGAUACCCUGGUAGUCCACGCUGUAAACGAUGGGUACUAGGUGUAGGGGGUAUUCACCCCCCCUGUGCCGAAGCUAACGCAUUAAGUACCCCACCUGGGGAGUACGGCCGCAAGGCUAAA
rnacentral:rRNA from 1 species